AGAGUUUGAUCAUGGCUCAGAUUGAACGCUGGCGGCAGGCCUAACACAUGCAAGUCGAACGGUAACAGGAAACAGCUUGCUGUUUCGCUGACGAGUGGCGGACGGGUGAGUAAUGUCUGGGAAACUGCCUGAUGGAGGGGGAUAACUACUGGAAACGGUAGCUAAUACCGCAUAACGUCGCAAGACCAAAGAGGGGGACCUUAGGGCCUCUUGCCAUCGGAUGUGCCCAGAUGGGAUUAGCUAGUAGGUGGGGUAACGGCUCACCUAGGCGACGAUCCCUAGCUGGUCUGAGAGGAUGACCAGCCACACUGGAACUGAGACACGGUCCAGACUCCUACGGGAGGCAGCAGUGGGGAAUAUUGCACAAUGGGCGCAAGCCUGAUGCAGCCAUGCCGCGUGUAUGAAGAAGGCCUUCGGGUUGUAAAGUACUUUCAGCGGGGAGGAAGGGAGUAAAGUUAAUACCUUUGCUCAUUGACGUUACCCGCAGAAGAAGCACCGGCUAACUCCGUGCCAGCAGCCGCGGUAAUACGGAGGGUGCAAGCGUUAAUCGGAAUUACUGGGCGUAAAGCGCACGCAGGCGGUUUGUUAAGUCAGAUGUGAAAUCCCCGGGCUCAACCUGGGAACUGCAUCUGAUACUGGCAAGCUUGAGUCUCGUAGAGGGGGGUAGAAUUCCAGGUGUAGCGGUGAAAUGCGUAGAGAUCUGGAGGAAUACCGGUGGCGAAGGCGGCCCCCUGGACGAAGACUGACGCUCAGGUGCGAAAGCGUGGGGAGCAAACAGGAUUAGAUACCCUGGUAGUCCACGCCGUAAACGAUGUCGACUUGGAGGUUGUGCCCUUGAGGCGUGGCUUCCGGAGCUAACGCGUUAAGUCGACCGCCUGGGGAGUACGGCCGCAAGGUUAAAACUCAAAUGAAUUGACGGGGGCCCGCACAAGCGGUGGAGCAUGUGGUUUAAUUCGAUGCAACGCGAAGAACCUUACCUGGUCUUGACAUCCACGGAAGUUUUCAGAGAUGAGAAUGUGCCUUCGGGAACCGUGAGACAGGUGCUGCAUGGCUGUCGUCAGCUCGUGUUGUGAAAUGUUGGGUUAAGUCCCGCAACGAGCGCAACCCUUAUCCUUUGUUGCCAGCGGUCCGGCCGGGAACUCAAAGGAGACUGCCAGUGAUAAACUGGAGGAAGGUGGGGAUGACGUCAAGUCAUCAUGGCCCUUACGACCAGGGCUACACACGUGCUACAAUGGCGCAUACAAAGAGAAGCGACCUCGCGAGAGCAAGCGGACCUCAUAAAGUGCGUCGUAGUUCGGAUUGGAGUCUGCAACUCGACUCCAUGAAGUCGGAAUCGCUAGUAAUCGUGGAUCAGAAUGCCACGGUGAAUACGUUCCCGGGCCUUGUACACACCGCCCGUCACACCAUGGGAGUGGGUUGCAAAAGAAGUAGGUAGCUUAACCUUCGGGAGGGCGCUUACCACUUUGUGAUUCAUGACUGGGGUGAAGUCGUAACAAGGUAACCGUAGGGGAACCUGCGGUUGGAUCACCU
rnacentral:rRNA from 2 species